rnacentral:lncRNA from 1 species
CACUCCCUCCAUAGCUAGCAGAUCCAUGACCAGCAGAAUCUUCAUUGCUGCUGGUCUAGGUCUUCUCCUCAACACUCUCCAUUGAGGCUCUUUCUUUUUCUUUUCUCAUUUGCUGGGAUCGACGCCCUCCUGAUCGAGUCGACUGGGUACCAGAGCAUCCUCGUCUGAGCAUCUCUCAAUCCUCUCUGAGAGAGUGUACUGUACCAGUCAUGUGGUGACUUGCUCCUCUCUGAGAGAGUGUGUUGUACCAGUCAUGUGGUGACUUGCUCCUCUCUGGCUGUGGCUAAUUAGCUGUGGGAGUGCGUAGAAUGUUGCGCUCAGCCCAUUGCUGUGGAUCGACCCUACCUUGCUGGCUAUGAAGCCGGCUGGCCGUGGAGACGAUCCUGGCUCGUCAAGCUUGGGCUUCUACUGCUGGCCCACAAGCUAGCCGAGCAUAGGAUCAUCAUCAUCUGUAAAAGUUCUAUAGAUGGGAUCUGCAUACUUGAGCUCCACUUCCUUCUGAAUGCAUUUUAGCUUCAACCGCAGAUUGUAGUGCACAUAAACGAGGUCGUUGAGGCGCUUUUGUGUCAAAUGGUUUCUCUGUUUGUUGUGGAUAAGGGCAAAGGUGGAUCAGUUGCACUCACAUCCACUCGAGGAGACUGUUUGGAAGAGGAUUCGGAUAGCUAUCCGUUUAAGAUUUUUUGUAGAUCCGCCAAAUGAAUCCGCUAUUCAG